rnacentral:lncRNA from 1 species
AAUUGUUUAUAACAAUUUUUUGACCACUCGAAUCUAAAUCCACCCUCGAAAUUCGUAAUCAGCAGCCAAGAAUCCAUAAAAAACCAUUGAGUUUGUCCAUCAGAACUGAAAAGGACACGGUGACCCCUCUGGCGCCUAGACUAAAACCACUUGGGUGAUAUUUUUGUUCUUUGUUGGUGUUUUAUUAUGUCUGAUUCUGUUGUUUCUUAUCGAAUUUCUGCCCCUGAGAUACUAUCUCUACUUGCCUUUGUUAAUUCAUUUCGGACUUCGGACAUUCGACAUUUCAUAAGGGGUGUUUUAGCCUUAACUUCCCACGGUCAUGGCCAUGGCCAGGCGGGUUGGCAAGUACCUGCUGCUGCUGUUGGUCCACGGGAAGAAACGAAUUAUCUGGACAUUUUAAUGAAUCGAAUGAAUCGUUUGAAAGAAUUUGCAGAAUAGUCCUCGUAUUGCCUAAUUGUUAUAUCGGUGACGGGUGAACUUCAGUCCGAUAUCGAUGGCGUACAUAACCUACAUACUUGAGGUUUUUCCGUUCUUCCAUUCUCCUUUCACGACUUUCGCUUUAUGGAUUUGUUUUCUAGGGUACCUAACUAAAUGUACACAAGCACAGACUACAUAAAUUGCAGAUAUUCAUAGUAGUAGUGAUCUUUAGUAAAAUUUUGUUCUUCGCGUCCAGUCCCAGUCUUUUAGUAAAUUGUGUUCGUCGUGAGAAGAUAUCAGCAUUGAUUAUAAAUAGAUAUCAGUCAGAAAGUCAUGGAUGUGUGUGUAGGUGGUAGAAAAGUACUCGAUGUCGUUGAAGCAGUCCGAAACUUGAAAUGGGUUUUCAACGACAUGGCAGAUUGCAGAUGAUUUCGAGUACGAAGCCGAACGAGCUGUUAUAAAAACAAGAAGGUACACGGUAGAAGAGUGUACCGAAGAAGCCACCAAAUACCACAAGGGAGCGAGAAUAUGUGAAGACUAUCUCUCUGAUUUGAUUUGCAUGUGUUGCUUUAAAAAAAUAAUAAAAAAUCUAGGGCUGACUGAUUUCUUAAAUCAGUUCAAAGAUGUUCUACCUACUGAAGAUGAUGGGUAAUGGGUAGUGUAGAUAGUGUAAAUGCAUGUAGAUAUAAUUAAUAAAUAAUAUAUUUUA